AAAUUGGAGAGUUUGAUCCUGGCUCAGAACGAACGCUGGCGGCGUGCUUAACACAUGCAAGUCGUACGAGAAAUCCUGGGCAACUGGGAAAGUACAGUGGCGCACGGGUGAGUAACGCGUGGGUAACCUACCCUUGAGUUGGGGAUAACUCCGCGAAAGCGGGGCUAAUACCGGAUAAUAUUUCGAGGCCUUCGGACCUUGGAAUCAAAGGUGGCCUCUGCAUGCAAGCUAUCGCUUAAGGAUGGGCCCGCGUACCAUUAGCUAGUUGGUAGGGUAAUGGCCUACCAAGGCAACGAUGGUUAGCUGGUCUGAGAGGAUGGCCAGCC
rnacentral:ncRNA from 1 species